rnacentral:misc_RNA from 1 species
UCGAUUCUAAAGAAGAUGUGCUGGCUUAAUUGCAUGUGCACUCUGAUUUACCUUCAACACUUGUGCACUAUUUUGUAGGCAUGAAGAAAGAGUUUAAUUCAAGUAUUUGUGUCUAUGACUUUUAAUACACUCUUAACUUGUAAAAGAAUGUUCAAGUAGACUUGUUUUAAAGUCGAAACUUAAUA